UCAGGCAGUUCCCGAAAUUGACAAAUACAUAUGUAACCAAAAAAUGCGACUUUUAAAAUUUUGAGUUGGGAAUGUCUAUGAAAAUCUAUGAAUCUGCAACAAAACAAAGAUGCAUAAUUGAUUUUCUAAUUGGUGUGUCCUGAAAAUUCCUUUCUGUACGCACACCUCAGAGUGAUUCAUACUGGAUAUUCGCUCUGUGCAGGGGAUGAUUUGAGUGGCUUUUCCAUCUUGUUCUGUCCCGACCCCCGAAUCGCAAUGCCAGAAUUGAAAAUGGCCAACAAAUGCCGGCAGAGGACAUGCAGAUACAUCUGCCGAAGAGCAGAGAGGAUGCGGAUGCAUAUGGAUUUUCCUGUCCCGUGCUCCACCACUCCACUCCAGAUCCUUUGUGUGUCUGCGUGCGAAUUGAUUGGAGGCGAAGCCAUCAAAGUGCCCAUCGAAGCUGCUAACAGGCUGACCGCUGCCGCCGCGUUUGCCGCCCAUCUCCCAUUUUCCUGCCCCAUUGGCAGGUGGCAUUGGAUCAGUAGCUCCAUCUCCCAUUACUGGAGUGGCAGGUGUGAAAGCUGCUCGCCGGGUCUUCCCACUUAUCAUCGAAAGUUUCCCAACCAGAGUUAAACGACUUGCUGGCAUCUUUGUUUGACUUUUGGCGAGUUUGCGUUUUAUUUUCGGUUCUCAAUAAGUUAGUUUAGGUUUAACAUUAGAAUUAAUCGUUGGAGGAAUGACACUUAACGUUCGUCUAGUA